GGGCUCCGGCCCCCGACCUCCCAACCCUUUGUUCCAACCAACUCUGUUGCCUCGGGGGGCGACCCGGACGUCCGUCGGGCGUCGGGCACCCCCGGAGGACCCAACCAUAACCCUGCAUCCAUGCGUCGGAGUAUUGAAAGCAAAUCAAUCAAAACUUUCAACAACGGAUCUCUUGGUUCUGGCAUCGAUGAAGAACGCAGCGAAAUGCGAUAAGUAAUGUGAAUUGCAGAAUUCAGUGAAUCAUCGAAUCUUUGAACGCACAUUGCGCCCUUUGGCAUUCCGAAGGGCAUGCCCGUUCGAGCGUCAUUAAAACCCCUCAAGCCUGGCUUGGUGUUGGGCGUCGGGCGUCGGCCCGCGCCUCUAUUCUAUCGGCUGGACGGUUGGUCAUCUCAGCGUUGUGCAAACGAAUCGCUCGGAGGAUCGCCGGACGCGCCGUUAAACCCCCAUCAAAGGUUGACCUCGGAUCGGGUAGGGAUACCCGCUGAACUUAAGCAUAUCAU
rnacentral:rRNA from 1 species